rnacentral:rRNA from 1 species
UACGGAGGACGCAAGCGUUAUCCGGAUUCACUGGGUUUAAAGGGUGCGUAGGUGGCUUUGUAAGUCAGUGGUGAAAGCCUGGAGCUCAACUCCAGAACUGCCAUUGAUACUGCUUAGCUUGAAUCACGUCGAGGUGGAUGGAAUAAUACAUGUAGCGGUGAAAUGCUUAGAUAUGUAUUAGAACACCGAUUGCGAAGGCAGUUCACUAGGCGUGUAUUGACACUGAGGCACGAAAGCGUGGGGAU